rnacentral:rRNA from 1 species
GUCUAUAGCCAUGCCACCCUGAACAAGCCCGAUCCCGUCUGAUCUUGGAAGCUAAGCAGGGUCAGGCCUGGUUAGUACUUGGAUAGAAGACCACCUAUGAAGACCAGGUGCUGUAGGUG